AAAACGACUCUCGGCAACGGAUAUCUCGGCUCUCGCAUCGAUGAAGAACGUACCGAAAUGCGAUACUUGGUGUGAAUUGCAGAAUCCCGUGAACCAUCGAGUCUUUGAACGCAAGUUGCGCCCGAAGCCGUCAGGCCGAGGGCACGUCUGCCUGGGCGUCACGC
rnacentral:rRNA from 1 species